AAACAGAUACUACCAGGCCAAAGAAAACUUUCCAAAAAGCACGAGACGUGGGAGAAGGUAAUUGGGCUAAGUUGGAGGAAGUUGAUGGAGCGUUAACAUCACUCAGCCCUCUGCAGGUUGGUGUUUCACAUUGGGAGUUCAAACUGAGAUCUCCCAGCUGAGGGAAAACAGUACAAACAAUCAAAGUUCUAUCUGAUUCUCCAUCAAAUUUCCUUGCACACAUGGAUCGAGUUCUUAAAGAUGCAAGAAUUUCAGGUUCUCUCAACCUUUCCAACCGUUCUCUCAGCGAGGUGCCCAAUGAGGUGUACAAAAGCUUGGAUGCGAUUGGCGAGGGAGAAAAGUGGUGGGAGGCUGUAGAGCUACAGAAGUUGAUUUUGGCUCAUAAUGAAAUCGAAUUGUUGAAAGAAGAACUUAGAAAUUUGCCUUUGUUGUCUGUGCUGAAUGUCAGCCACAAUAAGCUUACCAGUCUUCCAGCAUCUAUUGGAGAGUUGCACAUUUUGAAAUCUUUGGAUGUAUCAUUUAAUUUGAUAGAAAAUAUUCCAGAAGAAAUUGGGUCGGCAGCAGCUUUGGUCAAGUUUGAUUGUUCGAAUAACUGGCUAAAGGAUCUUCCGAGUUCCCUUGGACAAUGUGUAGCUCUAUCAGAACUUAAGGCAUCAAACAACAGCAUUUCCAGUUUGCCUGACGAAUUAGCAAAUUGUUCGAAAUUAAUAAAGUUGGAUGUAGAGGGAAAUAAGCUAAUAAUGCUACCAAAGGAGAUGAUUGCAUCAUGCACAAUGCUUAGUGAGAUCAAUGCAUCAAAAAAUAUGUUGAGUGCCAUGCCAGACAAUAUUGGAAGUCUUUCACGCUUGAUUCGCCUUGACCUCCAUCAGAACAGAAUUUCAUCAAUCCCAUCAUCAAUAAACGGUUGCUUGUCAUUAUUGGAGUUCUAUAUGGGGAACAAUGAUCUCUCUUCAUUGCCAGCUGAGAUAGGGGCCCUCACCAAAUUAGGGACAUUUGAUCUCCAUUCAAAUAAGUUGAAGGAGUAUCCGGUGGAGGCUUGCACCUUGCAGCUUUCGUUUCUAGACCUAUCAAAUAAUUCAUUGUCUGGUUUGCCUCCUGAGAUUGGUUUGAUGACUACUUUACGGAAACUUUUACUGAAUGGUAAUCCGCUGCGAACUCUUCGCAGCUCAUUGGUAAAUGGACCUACUGCUGCCCUAUUGAAGUUCUUACGAAGUAGACUUCCAACUGAUGAAGGGUCUGCAGCUACUGCAACAGCAAAAGAGGAUGUAAUUACUAUGGCAGCUCGGAUGUCUUUUUCUUCGAAGGAAAUUUCUUUGGAGGGGCUGGGUUUAAAUGUCGUCCCAUCAGAAGCAUGGAAGUCAAGUGACAUCAUCAAAGUUAAUUUGUCAAAGAAUGCAAUUGAAGAACUACCUGUUGAAUUUUCCUCUUGCAUUUCGCUUGAAGCUUUGAUUCUAUCUAAGAACAAGAUAAAAGAGUGGCCUGGUGGAAUCUUAAAAUCCCUUCCGAAAUUCUCAUGCUUAAAGCUGGACAACAAUCCUCUUAGACAGAUUGCAUCAAAUGCCUUUCAAACUACUCCAAAACUCCAUAUACUGGAUCUGAGUGGCAAUGCUGGUUGUUUGCCAGAACAUCCGGAAUUUUCUAGCAUGCCAGAGUUGCAGGAGCUUUAUCUGAGAUAUCCGUCUUCCCAGCAGAGAUUAUGAGCUUGAAGCAGCUGCGAACUCUUGAUUUGAGCCAAAAUUCUCUUCAACACAUUCCGCAGGGUAUAAAAGAUAUGACUAGUCUUACAGAGCUCGACCUUUCAGACAAUAACAUUUCUGCACUUCCACCAGAACUGGGAUUGCUUGAACCCAGCCUACAGGUAUUAAAACUCGACGGAAACCCAUUAAGAAGCAUCCGAAGGACAAUUUUGGAUCGAGGAACAAAAGCUAUUCUGAAGUACCUAAAGGAAAGAGUCGCCGAGGACUAAUUUCUCUGCACCCGUAGCCAUUAUGGCUACUUCUUGUGCCAGCAUGGGCUCGGCGGAAACAGAUAUUUGCUCCUGCGACUUCCAAAAAUUGUUGUUAUAAAGUUUGAUAUUACAAAUUACUCGAGCCUACCCCCUUUUUCUUUCAAAUUCGGUAAUGGUAUAAUUUGCUUGCGAGAAAAUCCAGUCACGAGCCUGAGUUGCACUCCAUCUUUUGCCAAGCAAAGUUUCUCGAUCGUCCU